GCUGUGAGGGCGAAGUUAACCAGCAUGAUGUAAAUACAGUGGGGAACUCAGCGCCUCCUACAGGAUGAGUGUUCAGUAAAGGGCUGCUGUUUCAUGACGCCCCCUCCGGGCACAGUGCCAGGCACAUUUGCAAAGGGCAUCAGGCUCGGAGCAGACAGGCAGGGCUGCCCCGCCAGGGCCCCACCCCGGGCCUUUUGUUCCCUGCGGGUUUGGUUCUGCUUCUCUUUCCAGGUGUGAAUGGUCCCUGGCAGCCAAGGACUGCUCCAGUUUCCCCUUCCAGCCGCUGUGCGGGCGGGCUGGGGCGGGGGCGCCGCCUCCCGGCCGUGCUGCCCCGGCUCCCCGACACCGCUGCCUGGCCCCCAUGGCAUUCCUGUCCCCACGGCGCACAGAAGGCCCCUUUGUCUCGGGCCGCACCUGACUCGGCACAGCGGGGGUGGCGACCGCGCCGCUGGCACGCGGCCAGGGCACUUUCCGCAAUAACAGCGUUAGUCACGCCGCUGCCAGAAAGCGCCUUGUAAACCGUUCCUGGGUCUGCGUGGCCCUGGGCGGGUGUUUUUCAUUUCCUUUCCAUGUUGAUUUUUAAAUGCAGGCUGCUUUUUGGUGCGAAACAGAGACUCUGGGUCAGUCUUGCGCCUGCUCCCUGAUGCUCUGGCGCAAGGGGACGGUCAUCUCGUUGGCCCCCUGCAGAGCUGAGCACCGAGCUGCCGGCCGCCAGCCCAGGGGCUGAAGGCUCCAGCAAGGACGCACGCCUCGGCGUCUCCCCUUGCCGCUUAGGAGAAUCAUGCUGAAGCCGACCCUUCUGUUUCCAGAGCGGGGUGCUGCCCAUCAGCGGCGCCGGCGUCUCUCUCCAGCUGCGAGGCUGCUCAGUGCUGUUGGUUUGCUGCAUCAUGCGCGGCUCCCAUCAGCAGGGAGACAGGGGCGGGGUUGCAUUUGGAACAGGCACAGGGGAGUAAUACCGCCUGACCGGCACGUCAGGAUGUGCCAGCCGUGAACUAGACGGCGUCCUUCUCCAGAAACUCUGGGGCACAGCACUGGGGGGUCCUGGCACUGGGGGCUCCUGGCAUUGAGGGGGUCCUGGCAUUGGGAGUUCUCUGGUAUCGGGAGUCCUGGCACUGCGGGACCCCUGGCACUGGGGAGCCCCUGGCACUAGAUUUGAAGCCAGAUCGUUGGAGCAGCUGACAAUCAGAGCGUGUUCUUCAGGAUUGCUCACAGAAAUUUGUGUUUCUCUCUCCUCCCAGAAACACACAAGGCAGCCGCGAAGUUUACUGUCCAUGCAAGGACCCACUUGAGAGCGGAUGGCCGUGCCAACCAGAUGGAACGCCCGGACAGCAGGUGUAAACCAGGACAUCCUGGCAAACAGAUGAGUUUGAAAUUCUUGCUUCGGGCCAUAUGGAGUGGGAAACUGAGGCACGAGGCGGGAAGUUAUGGCCUGACUCCCAGCAGCUGAGCUGAACCCGGACAGCGGUCUGCUUCCUUGCUCUGCUGUGCUCCCCUCUGCAUCAGGUGGCCUCGCCCAACACAGGACAACGACCAGCUUGGACCCCCCAGAGGCUUCCCAGAGUGGGUGGGGGCUGGAUUGGGGCCCACAGGUGUGUUCCCUGACUCGGGGGGCCUGCGCAGACCCCACUGUCUGCCCUCCUAGGCUUCAGCAGAGAGACUUGCCCUUUUAUCUUGUUCACUUGCUGCCAAUCACUCUUCAUCAGAGCCCUUUCCUUCAGGCUGCGGCCGAGGAAUUGUUACAUCUCCUAGAUUUUAAAAAAUGUAGGUUGCUUUUUCUUAAAAAAAAAAUUGUCUCUGAAAUAAGCUCACAAGCCCUUUCCAUAUUUUUACAAAGCUGUUAGCAAAUCCUCAAGGAAGGAUGUUGUCGUCAGCUUCAGGUAGGUGCGUUAGGAGACAGCCUGGGGCAGCACUGCGGCUCGGUGCGGGGAGGAGGGCAGGCUGAAAUCCAAGGGAGCUGGAACACCCACCAUUCCCCACCACUGCCAAGAUGGAGCCCACCCGGGGAGGCAGCAGGAUACAGGGCCAAGGAAACCCCCAACACCAGCUAACCCCAUGGGGGGUGCAGGGGAGCCUGAGAGAAGGGCUGGAUGCCAGUGGGAAGUCUUAAGGAAAGGGUUUCAUGUGCCUCAAAGGACCCAAUCAACAGAAUGAAAAGGCAACCCACGGAGGGAGAGAAAAUAUUUGCAAAUCACCUAUCU